GCCCGCCGCGGUCGCGCCCGGAUGGGUGACCCGAGAGCCCCGCACGGGCACCGUCGGCGCGGCACCCGCUCCGUCCCGGGACACAGCGGGACAGGCCGGCUGGGAAAGCUGAGUUGCCUGAGGGAAAACAACACAAGGAACUAACAAAAUCGCUCCCGGCCGGCUGCCAGCCCGCGUCCCGCUCCCGCCGCUGCACCCGGUCGUCACCCGUCGCUGCCCACCUGGGCUCCUGUGGUUCUGAAGGCAUGGCCUGAACCCGCAGCGCAGCCGGUGACACAGAGAGCAGAGGGGCAGCCCACCGGCCCGCAGAAGGCACACGAGAGCUGCCAAGAGUCACCUCCGGCCCUCUGGGGAACUGGGCAAGAACAAACGUCUGCAUCCUCUUUUUGGAAGUCCUCCAGCUGACACCGAACAUGCUCACGAUGACCAAAAGCAGA